UUUCGGGGUUCCUGGGUGUCACGCAGAUCUCGGUGGGACCUCCAAAUGAAAGAACCUAGUGGGGAAACCCCCACUCAAUUUCCGUUCGGUGCGCACCCAAGAAUCAUGAACAGACGA
rnacentral:pre_miRNA from 7 species